GCGGCAAGACGACCAACAGGAGCAGACCGCACAGAUUCUGAUUCAGGGCCCUUUCCAGGGACACAGGAAGAGGAUGCCACCCGUGAGCCCAGGAGCGUGACCUCAGUGGGACAAGCCCUGCAACGCCAAGCACCUGCUGAAAAUCCACUAUGGUGCCGGACCCACCAGAGGGAGCCAUCUUGGGGACCGUCCCCUGUCCUCGGCGAGGUGAGGGUGUGCUGGCAUCUGCGCUCAGCCUCCUUGGCACAGUGCCGCCGGGCGGGCGAGCGGUCACUGCAAAGAGCUCGGGAGACAGGGGCCGAGGUUCAGCAGAGACGCCUGCCUUGGAGCUGUGAUGAGUUGGACGUGAAGGGUGAGGCUUCAAACGCACUGUGCCAAGGGGGGUGGAGGCAGACUGCACCCUCAGACCCCAGAACCAACGCGCGGCGGCAGACAGGCCAGGUGACCAGACCCCACCUAACGCUGCCCCAGUCACUGCCAGCCUGACAGCUCAAGCUGCAGCGCGUCGGUGUGGAAAUGCUCCCGGCUGAGCCCAGGAGAGCUUGGGGUGCUGACCCUCCGACCCCCGCCAUCCUGCUUCCUGGAAGCCCAAGCAGCUCCAGGGCUGCAUGUGGGGCUGGGGCUGGAGGCAGGCGCGCCAGCAGCCAGGUGGCAAAGCCCAGUGGGCGCCUGGGCUGGAGGGGACCCUUCCCAACACAGCCGCUUCACCUGCAACACGCCCGCCCUCUGCCCUGCUCCAGGGAAUGCACCCGGGCUCGGAGGGAUGGAUGGAAGCCAGGGGCCAUGGGACAGCCAGGAGCAAGAUGACGGGGUCUCCCGGGACCUGGGGACUGGGCUGCCUUAGAUCCGCAGCUUGGAUAAAUCAACAAUGAACAAGCAAGCAAAAACAAGGACACGGAGAGGGUCAUCUGUCCAGCGCGGCCACACAGCUCCUGGGUUCAAAGGCAGAGGAACUGGCCACAGCCGGCGUGCUCAACAGCGAGGUCACAGCAGGCACCCACUGUAUGAUCGCAUCUCACAAGCCCCCGCCUUCCCCGGGCCCACCGGCCCCACACCUGUGCCGUACAACACACUCUAUACACCAUCGCACCAGCUAGGUCUUCAUGGACCCAUUCGGCUGUGACUCAGGAGACAGCAGGGCUCUGGGACACAGGAAGACGAGAAGCCGGCCCUGUGAGAGCCAAGGAGACAAGCAUGCAAGUGGCUGGAGUCUCUGAGCAUCAGACGGAAUAGAUGAGCUCAAUGAGGUCCAGCCACACAAGGGAAUAUUACUCAGUCGCAAAAAGGGAAGGAACUAAACCUCAACACACUCCAGUGUGGAUGGUUUCACUCAUCUGUGGUCCCUAGAGUGGGGAGACUCCUAGACAAAAGCAGGAUGUGGAGCCAGGGGCUGGGGUGGGGAUGAGGAACGUUUCAUGGGGACAGAACUUCAUGCUGGGAAGAUGAGAAACACCUAGAGCCGAACUGAGGGGACGGUACAUGGUGAUGGUUACAUGAAGGAAGUUAAUGACCCCGAGCUGUGCACACACACUGGCUGAAAUGGUACAUUCUAUGUCACGAAGUGUUUGCUAUAAUUUUUAAAAAGUAAAUUAAGGAAAAAAUUUAAGGCCGGGUAAUCCCCCUGGGUGCUCUGUCAUUGCUU